AUGACAAAGAGGAAAAUGGCUACAUGGUCAGCGUUUUUGUCAUCAUCAAUGUGGAAACGUGGUCAUAAGAGAGUGAACGUUGAUAACACACAAGCUACUGUAUAUAUGACAAAAAAAUACAAUUUUAUUUGUCACAUUGCUUGGUAAAACAACGUGUAGACUAACAGUGAAUAGCUGACGUAUGGGUCCUUCCCAGCAAUACAGAGAGGAAGAAAAUAGAGAAGUAAUAGAAAAGUAAAACAUGUAAUAAUAGAAACACAACGAGUAACAACGAUUUGGCUAAAUGUACGGUGUACCAGUACUGAGUCGAUGUGCAGGGGUACGAGGUCAAUCAUUUGGCUAAAUGCACGGUGUACCAGUACUGAGUCGAUGUGCAGGGGUACGAGGUCAAUCAUUUGGCUAAAUGCACGGUGUACCAGUACUGAGUCGAUGUGCAGGGGUACGAGGUCAAUCAUUUGGCUAAAUGCACGGUGUACCAGUACUGAGUCGAUGUGCAGGGGUACGAGGUCAAUCAUUUGGCUAAAUGCACGGUGUACCAGUACUGAGUCGAUGGGCAGGGGUACGAGGUCAAUCAUUUGGCUAAAUGCACGGUGUACCAGUACUGAGUCGAUGUGCAGGGGUACGAGGUCAAUCAUUUGGCUAAAUGCACGGUGUACCAGUACUGAGUCGAUGUGCAGGGGUACGAGGUCAAUCAUUUGGCUAAAUGCACGGUGUACCAGUACUGAGUCGAUGUGCAGGGGUACGAGGUCAAUCAUUUGGCUAAAUGCACGGUGUACCAGUACUGAGUCGAUGUGCAGGGGUACGAGGUCAAUCAUUUGGCUAAAUGCACGGUGUACCAGUACUGAGUCGAUGGGCAGGGGUACGAGGUCAAUAAUUUGGCUAAAUGAACGGUGUACCGGUACUGAGUCGAUGUGCAGGGGUACGAGGUCAAUAAUUUGGCUAAAUGCACGGUGUACCGGUACUGAGUCGAUGGGCAGGGGUACGAGGUCAAUAAUUUGGCUAAAUGCACGGUGUACCCCAGUACUGAGUCGAUGUGCAGGGGUACGAGGUCAAUCAUUUGGCUAAAUGCACGGUGUACCAGUACUGAGUCGAUGUGCAGGGGUACGAGGUCAAUCAUUUGGCUAAAUGCACGGUGUACCAGUACUGAGUCGAUGUGCAGGGGUACGAGGUCAAUCAUUUGGCUAAAUGCACGGUGUACCAGUACUGAGUCGAUGUGCAGGGGUACGAGGUCAAUCAUUUGGCUAAAUGCACGGUGUACCAGUACUGAGUCGAUGGGCAGGGGUACGAGGUCAAUAAUUUGGCUAAAUGCACGGUGUACCAGUACUGAGUCGAUGUGCAGGGGUACGAGGUCAAUAAUUUGGCUAAAUGAACGGUGUACCGGUACUGAGUCGAUGUGCAGGGGUACGAGGUCAAUAAUUUGGCUAAAUGCACGGUGUACCAGUACUGAGUCGAUGUGCAGGGGUACGAGGUCAAUAAUUUGGCUAAAUGAACGGUGUACCGGUACUGAGUCGAUGUGCAGGGGUACGAGGUCAUUGAGAUAUGUACAUAUAACCAACAAGCCAGAGAAUGAGUCUGACCAU